rnacentral:rRNA from 1 species
UACGUAGGGCGCGAGCGUUGUCCGGAAUUAUUGGGCGUAAAGAGCUCGUAGGCGGCCGGUUGCGUCUGCUGUAAAAUCCCGGGGCUUAACCCCGGGCGUGCAGUGGAUACGGGCCGGCUGGAGGCAGGCAGGGGAGAAUGGAAUUCCUGGUGUAGCGGUGAAAUGCGUAGAGAUCAGGAGGAACACCCGUGGCGAAGGCGGCUCUCUGGGUCCGCCCUGACGCUGAGGCGCGAAAGCGUGGGGAGCGAACGGG